rnacentral:rRNA from 1 species
CCCGGAGUUUGACGUCCNUANUUUGCUUCGGCGGGCCCGCCAUUCAUGGCCGCCGGGGGCUCUCAGCCCCGGGCCCGCGCCCGCCGGAGACACCACGCAACUCUGUCUGAUCUAGUGAAGUCUGAGUUGAUUGUAUCGCAAUCAGUUAAAACUUUCAACAAUGGAUCUCUUGGUUCCGGCAUCGAUGAAGAACGCAGCGAAAGUGCGAUAACUAGUGUGAAUUGCAGAAUUCCGUGAAUCAUCGAGUCUUUGAACGCACAUUGCGCCCCCUGGUAUUCCGGGGGGCAUGCCUGUCCGAGCGUCAUUGCUGCCCAUCAAGCACGGCUUGUGUGUUGGGUCGUCGUCCCCUCUCCGGGGGGGACGGGCCCCAAAGGCAGCGGCGGCACCGCGUCCGAUCCUCGAGCGUAUGGGGCUUUGUCACCCGCUCUGUAGGCCCGGCCGGCGCUUGCCGAACGCAAAUCAAUCUUUUUCCAGGUUGACCUCGGAUCAGGUAGGGAUACCCGCUGAACUUAAGCAUAUCAAUAG